GAGUUUGAUCAUGGCUCAGAUUGAACGCUGGCGGCAUGCCUUACACAUGCAAGUCGAACGGCAGCACGGGAGCUUGCUCCUGGUGGCGAGUGGCGAACGGGUGAGUAAUGCAUCGGAACGUAUCCUGGAGUGGGGGAUAACGUAGCGAAAGUUACGCUAAUACCGCAUAUUCUGUGAGCAGGAAAGCGGGGGACCUUCGGGCCUCGCGCUCUUGGAGCGGCCGAUGUCGGAUUAGCUAGUUGGUGGGGUAAUGGCUCACCAAGGCGACGAUCCGUAACUGGUCUGAGAGGAUGAUCAGUCACACUGGAACUGAGACACGGUCCAGACUCCUACGGGAGGCAGCAGUGGGGAAUUUUGGACAAUGGGGGCAACCCUGAUCCAGCCAUGCCGCGUGAGUGAAGAAGGCC
rnacentral:rRNA from 1 species